rnacentral:rRNA from 1 species
AUUGAACGCUGGCGGCAGGCCUAACACAUGCAAGUCGAACGAGUGGCGGACGGGUGAGUAAUGUCUGGGAAACUGCCUGAUGGAGGGGGAUAACUACUGGAAACUGUAGCUAAUACCGCAUACCAUCGGAUGUGCCCAGAUGGGAUUAGCUAGUUUGUGGGGUAACGGCUCACCAAGGCGACGAUCUCUAGCUGGUCUGAGAGGAUGCCCAGCAACACUGGAACGGAGACACGGUCCAGACUCCUACGGGAGGCAGCAGUGGGGAAUAUUGCACAAUGGGCGCAAUCCUGAUGCAGCCAUGCCGCGUGUAUGAAGAAGGCCUUCGGGUUGUAAAGUUCUUUCAGCGGGGAGGCGUUACCCGCAGAAGAAGCACCGGCUAACUCCGUGCCAGCAGCCGCGGUAAUAC